AUGGCAUCGGAGCACUCGUUGCCUUUUAAUGUUGCUGCUGUGGUUGAAGCCGUUCUUCAACAGCAGGGGACUCGUCUCACCGAUGUGGGAUUGGCUUCCAGGAAGGCAGAUGAAGCCUCCUUGAGAAGGUAUGAAGCAGCCGGGUGGCUUAGAAAGACGGUUGGAGUGGUGGGCGGUAAAGAUUUGCCAGCCGAGCCCUCUGAAGAAGAUUUUAGGCUUGGAUUGCGAAGUGGAAUAAUCCUUUGCAAUGUUAUUAACAAGGUUCAACCCGGAGCUGUGGCAAAGGUAGUUGAAGGCCCUUCUUGUGACUCCGUGACUAUUCCUGAUGGGGCAGCUCUAUCAGCAUUUCAGUACUUCGAAAACGUCAGAAAUUUCCUUGUGGCUGUGGAGGAAUUGGGGCUUCCAACCUUUGAAGCCUCUGAUUUGGAACAGGGAGGAAAAUUUGCUAGUGCAAGGAUUGUUAACUGUGUUCUAGCACUAAAAUCAUAUAAUGACUGGAAACAAACAGGCGGGAGUGGAUCAUGGAAAUUUGUUGGAAACUUGAAACCACCUAUCAGUGGGAAACCCUUUCUGCGGAAAAAUUCUGAACCAUUCAUGAGUUCCUUUACAAGGACCUCAUCAUGGGGCGAAAGUUUAAUUGUUUUGUCUUUCAAUAUCCAGAGUUCUUCUCAAUCCUUGCACGUGCUAGUACGUGAAGCUCUUUCGGACAAAAAGCAGGAAGAAAUUCCAUUUAUUGUGGAAUCUAUGCUGAGUAAAGUGAUGGAGGAAUUUCAGCAUCGCCUAGCAAGCCAAACUGAACUGGUAAAAGCACCUUCCAAAGAUAGCCCUGGCCCUAACUCAGAGUUUGUAUCUCUUUCAGAACCUGGUUCUGGUGAUGUGAAGAAUGAAGAGAGAGCUGCAACUCAAAUAAAGAAGGAUGAUUGUUGCAAUCAAACAUUUGACCAUCAAGAGGGAUCAAAAGGCCAGUUUAUGAAACAUAAAAUGUUGGUUGAACAACAAAAGAAAGAUAUUCAGGAAUUGAAACAUACUCUAUAUGAUACAAAAGCAGGAAUGAAAUUUCUACAGAGGAAGUGCCAGGAGGAGUUCAACAACCUAGGUACGCACCUGCAUGGUUUGGCUCAUGCAGCAUCAGGGUACCAGAAAGUUCUUGAAGAAAAUCGCAAGUUGUACAAUCUGGUGCAGGAUCUGAAAGGCAAUAUAAGGGUAUACUGCCGAGUGCGUCCUCCAUCGCCUGGGCAAACAAAUCAUUCCAAUACUUUUGAUCACAUAGAUGAUGGAAAAAUUACAAUUGUAACCCCUUCAAAAUAUGGCAAAGAGGGGCGGAAAUCUUUCAGUUUCAACAAAGUAUUUGGCCCAUUCUCAACCCAAGAGGAGGUAUUUUCAGAUACACAGCCUCUCAUUCGGUCUGUUCUUGAUGGUUACAAUGUCUGCAUAUUUGCUUAUGGACAAACAGGAUCAGGAAAAACUUAUACAAUGACCGGACCCAGUGAGAUUACGGAGGAAAGCCGAGGUGUAAAUUACAGAGCAUUGAGUGAUCUGUUUCAUCUAUCAGAAUUGAGAAAGGACACCAUUCACUAUGGAAUUUCUGUUCAGAUGCUUGAAAUUUACAAUGAGCAAGUUAGGGAUCUCCUUGCAGUUGAUGGCUCUAACCAAAGAUAUCCUUUAUGAGUCCUAACCCUACUUCAGUUUCUAGAUUGUGAUACAUUAGAAAUUCGAAAUAGUUCUCAAAACGGCAUUAAUGUACCUGAAGCGAACCUUGUACCUGUAUCAUCAACAUCUGAUGUUAUAUAUUUGAUGAACCUUGGGCAUAAGAAUCGUGCAGUGAGUUCUACCGCCAUGAAUGACCGGAGCAGUCGAUCUCAUAGCUGCUUGACUGUUCAUGUUCACGGAAGGGACCUGACAUCUGGAAGCAUUCUCCGCGGUUGUAUGCAUCUAGUUGAUUUAGCAGGAAGUGAAAGAGUUGAUAAAUCCGAGGUGACUGGUGAUAGAUUAAAGGAGGCACAACAUAUUAACAAAUCUCUGUCAGCUUUAGGAGAUGUCAUUGCCUCUCUUGCUCAAAAGAAUUCACAUGUUCCAUAUAGAAAUAGUAAACUAACACAACUACUCCAAGACUCGCUCGGAGGGCAAGCAAAGACACUCAUGUUUGUUCACAUUAGCCCUGAGUAUGAAGCUCUUGGAGAAACAUUGAGUACCCUCAAAUUUGCAGAACGGGUUUCCACAGUUGAACUUGGUGCUGCUCGAGUCAACAAAGAUGGUGCAAAUGUUAAAGAUCUAAAAGAACAGGUUGCUGCUCUAAAGACAGCCUUGGCACGAAAAGAAGGUGAGGAAAAACACUUGAAACAUUCGCUCUCCCUAAGCCCAGAAAGAUUUAGAAUGAAGUCUACUGGCUCUUCUCCUUUGCAUCCAAGCAGGAAAAGUAUUGGAGAUUCUUCUGGUGGUCGCAAGCAACCAAUGGAGGAUAUUGGAAACAUAGAGGUUCAUCAAACCUCUUCAUCAAAGCCAAAAAGGCGGAGUUUAGAUCUCCAAGACAUGUUGAUGCAUUCACCUCCAUGGCCACCAGUUGCUAGUCCUAGAGUGAUUGGGAAAGAGGAUGAUAAGGAGUUAUUUUCAUCAAUUCCUGGUGACUGGGUUGAUAAGGUGAUGGUGAACAAGCUUGAGGGUAAAAGUAGAGAACAAAGCCCAUUAAGAUCAUGUUGGGAUCAUGUGGACAACAGACAGUUACCAGAGAUGUUUGGUGAGAGUCGCCUCCCACACCCUUCCAUCAUAUGUUCAACAACAAAUAAAGAUGAUAGUCAAGAUUUUAACGAAUCUGAUGAUCAGCUUGAUGCUACCACAAGUGAUUCUUCAGAGCCAGACAUGCUUUGGCAAUUAAAUGGUCCUACUAAAGCUUCAAACAUUCCAAAUGGGUUGGGACCAAAAGCAAAGAAAACCAACUCCAGGUCAAUAAGGAGCCCAGAAACUAGAAGUUUCAUUCCAUCAUUGAUUCCUUCACCGUCGCGGAAACCGCCCAAUGGUGUUAGUCAAGCUUUACCUAAGAGGCAAUCUGUCUCUGCUGAAGGCAAGCGAAGGUAUAGGAGUGCAAAGUGA